GAUGAACGCUGACGGCAUGCCUAAUACAUGCAAGUCGAACGAGAGGAAGGAAAGCUUGCUUUCCUGAAUCUAGUGGCGAACGGGUGAGUAACACGUAGGUAACCUGCCCAUGUGCCCGGGAUAACUUCUGGAAACGGAUGCUAAAACCGGAUAGGUAGCAGACAAGCAUUUGACUGCUAUUAAAGCGGCCUUGGCCAUGAACAUGGAUGGACCUGCGGUGCAUUAGCUAGGUGGUGGGGUAACGGCCCACCAAGGCGACGAUGCAUAGCCGGCCUGAGAGGGCGGACGGCCACAUUGGGACUGAGACACGGCCCAAACUCCUACGGGAGGCAGCAGUAGGGAAUUUUCGUCAAUGGGGGGAACCCUGAACGAGCAAUGCCGCGUGAGUGAGGAAGGUCUUCGGAUCGUAAAGCUCUGUUGUAAGAGAAAAACGGCACUCAUAGGGAAUGAUGAGUGAGUGAUGGUAUCUUACCAGAAAGUCACGGCUAACUACGUGCCAGCCGCCGCGGUAACAC
rnacentral:rRNA from 1 species